UCUCAGUCGGCGGGAAGCCUUGGUGGAGAGAGGGAGUGUGAUCUUGUUCCUGUUGUGUUGUGUUGGUUUCCUUUGUGUAUUCAGGUACGUGAAUGUUUGAUUAUUGUACUGUGUAAUUUCUUUAGUUAUAACUACCAGUUUCUUGUUUUAUGUAUGUAUAUGUACUGUUUUAUCAUUUCAUGUUUUAUAAUUUAUGGCUGACGGUCGAGAUGCGCAUAAGAUAAAUUAGAGAAUGUUUAAAUAUAUUUAAUUUUAUCUGAUAUGUCAGUAUAUGUUUGUAAGCGCUCGCCUCAGUCGGCGGGGAGCCUUGGUGGAGAGAGGGAGUGUGAUCGCGUCCUGUUGUGUUGUGUUGGUUUCCUUUGUGUAUUCAGUCGGCGGGAAGCCUUGGUGGAGAGAGUCGGCGGGAAGCCCUGGUGAUUAGGAGAAUAAACAACGUCCGUCAGUCAACCGGCA